GACGAACCGGACAAACGUUAUUCGGAAUUACUGGGCUUAAAGGGUUUGUAGGCGGCCUUGUAAGUCAGGUGUGAAAUCCCUCGGCUCAACCGAGGAAUAGCGCUUGAUACUGCAAGGCUUGAGGGAGACAGGGGUAAGCGGAACUGAUGGUGGAGCGGUGAAAUGCGUUGAUAUCAUCAGGAACACCGGUGGCGAAGGCGGGUCUCUGGGCAGUAACUGACGCUGAGGAGCGAAAGCGUGGGGAGCGAACAGG
rnacentral:rRNA from 1 species